AGCAGCCGCGGUAAUUCCAGCUCCAAUAGCGUAUAUUAAAGUUGUUGCAGUUAAAAAGCUCGUAGUUGAAUUUCGGGGUUCAUACGUUGGUCGGGCUUUUUUGGUCUGUACUGGUGUAAUGGAUUCCUACCUUCUGAAUAACCGGCAUGUCAUUAAUUUGGUGCACCGGGGAAGCAGGACUGUUACCUUGAAAAAAUUAGAGUGCUUAAAGCAGGCUAUCGCCUGAAUACAUUAGCAUGGAAUAAUGAAAUAGGACGGCAUGGUUCUAUUUUGUUGGUUUCUAGGAUCACCGUAAUGAUUAAUAGGGAUAGUUGGGGGCAUUAGUAUUCAAUUGUCAGAGGUGAAAUUCUUGGAUUUAUUGAAGACUAACUUCUGCGAAAGCAUUUGCCAAGGAUGUUUUCAUUAAUCAAGAACGAAAGUUAGGGGAUCGAAGACGAUCAGAUACCGUCGUAGUCUUAACCAUAAACUAUGCCGACUAGGGAUCGGACGAUGUUAAUUUUUUAAUUGUACUCGUUCGGCG
rnacentral:rRNA from 1 species